rnacentral:tRNA from 1 species
GUUUACAUAGUUUAAAAAAAACAUUACAUUUUCAAUGUAAAAUUAAUUAAUAUUUGCAAAUACC